GACUCCAUAACUUUUAGACCGUGA
rnacentral:siRNA from 1 species